rnacentral:rRNA from 1 species
AGUGAACGCUGGCGGUAGGCCUAACACAUGCAAGUCGAACGGCAGCACAGUAAGAGCUUGCUCUUACGGGUGGCGAGUGGCGGACGGGUGAGGAAUACAUCGGAAUCUACUUUUUCGUGGGGGAUAACGUAGGGAAACUUACGCUAAUACCGCAUACGACCUACGGGUGAAAGCAGGGGAUCUUCGGACCUCGCGCGAUUGAAUGAGCCGAUGUCGGAUUAGCUAGUUGGCGGGGUAAAGACCCACCAAGUCGACGAUCCGUAGCUGGUCUGAGAGGAUGAUCAGCCACACUGGAACUGAGACACCGUCCAGACUCCUACGGGGGGCCGCAGUGGGGAAUAUUGGACAAUGGGCGCAAGCAUGAUCCAGCCAUACCGCGUGGGUGAAGAAGGCCUUCGGGUUGUAAAGACCUUUUGUUGGGAAAGAAAAGCAGCAGGUUAAUACCCCGCUGUUCUGACGGUACCCAAAGAAUAAGCACCGGCUAACUUCGUG